GAACACGUGGGGAAUUGGAGAUCAUUCUAGAGACGAAAGCAUAGAGUUCAAGGAAGGAAGUGAUAAGGAGGGUGGAGAACAAGGUAGGCGAGUGCCAGACCACAGAAGAUGUUGCUCGCCAUGUUAAGGAUUGGAUUUUAUCAGGAAGGCAAUGGGAAGCCAUUAAGAGAUUUUAAGGGGGAAUUGAUAUUUCUGGAUUUGUGCUGAGAACCCUCAUGCUGACUUCAAAUCUAAGGAUAGACUGGGGUGGACUGGAACGCAGGUAGCGAACUAGGGAAUGUCCCAGAGAAGACAUGACAAAGCCUACAACUGGAAUGGUGGGAGCAGGAAUACAAAAGAAGGAAGGGAAAGAGGCAGACGCGGCAGAGCAGGGCACCUGGUUAGGUGAAGGGUCAAUCAAAAGUAUGCAUAUAACUUUGGGAUUGUACAAUAGGUGAAGAUGAAGCGAUUCUCCAAGAUAAGGAGCAUGUCGGGAGAAAAAAACUGUCUUCAUCUCUUGAAGAAAUAAUGGCAGAAUCUUCCUAAAUGUGAGUUCUUUGUCCUGUAUUGGGAGCAGCUUGUCUACAGGACAGCCAAUCAAAUAGACUGCUCAGAAUCUACUCUGCCUCCGCAAAGCCAUGUCCUUUUUCCUCUUCAAUUUACCAUCUGAAACAUACCAAAGAUAACCUGAAGCAUGAGCCAAUUUAAAUCCCAUAAGAAUUGUGCCUGGCAUUUGUACUUUGCCUUGAGAUUCAAAAAGAGCUUUUUCUGAUGAAC
rnacentral:lncRNA from 1 species